AGUGAACGCUGGCGGUAGGCCUAACACAUGCAAGUCGAACGGCAGCACAGUAAGAGCUUGCUCUUACGGGUGGCGAGUGGCGGACGGGUGAGGAAUACAUCGGAAUCUACUUUUUCGUGGGGGAUAACGUAGGGAAACUUACGCUAAUACCGCAUACGACCUACGGGUGAAAGCAGGGGAUCUUCGGACCUUUCGCGAUUGAAUGAGCCGAUGUCGGAUUAGCUAGUUGGCGGGGUAAAGGCCCACCAAGGCGACGAUCCGUAGCUGGUCUGAGAGGAUGAUCAGCAAAACUGGAACUGAGACACGGUCCAGACUCCUACGGGAGGCAGCAGUGGGGAAUAUUGGACAAUGGGCGCAAGCAUGAUCCAGCAAUACCGCGUGGGUGAAGAAGGACUUCGGGUUGUAAAGCCCUUUUGUUGGGAAAGAAAAGCAGCAGGUUAAUACCCCGAUGUUCUGACGGUACCCAAAGAAUAAGCACCGGCUAACUUCGUG
rnacentral:rRNA from 1 species